AUUGAACGCUGGCGGCAUGCCUUACACAUGCAAGUCGAACGGCAGCACGGGAGCAAUCCUGGUGGCGAGUGGCGAACGGGUGAGUAAUAUAUCGGAACGUGCCCAGUCGUGGGGGAUAACGUAGCGAAAGCUACGCUAAUACCGCAUACGAUCUAUGGAUGAAAGCGGGGGAUCGCAAGACCUCGCGCGAUUGGAGCGGCCGAUAUCAGAUUAGGUAGUUGGUGAGGUAAAGGCUCACCAAGCCGACGAUCUGUAGCUGGUCUGAGAGGACGACCAGCCACACUGGGACUGAGACACGGCCCAGACUCCUACGGGAGGCAGCAGUGGGAAUUUGGACAAUGGGCGCAAGCCUGAUCCAGCAAUGCCGCGUGCAGGAUGAAGGCCUUCGGGUUGUAAACUGCUUUGUACGGAACGAAACGGUGAGCUCUAAUACAGUUUGCUAAUGACGGUACCGUAAGAAUAAGCACCGGCUAACUACGUG
rnacentral:rRNA from 1 species